rnacentral:rRNA from 1 species
UACAGAGGUGGCAAGCGUUGUUCGGAAUUACUGGGCGUAAAGGGCGCGUAGGCGGCCAUCUAAGUCAGACGUGAAAUCCCCCGGCUUAACCUGGGAACUGCGUCUGAUACUGGAAGGCUUGAGUAUGGGAGAGGGAUGUAGAAUUCCAGGUGUAGCGGUGAAAUGCGUAGAUAUCUGGAGGAAUACCGGUGGCGAAGGCGGCAUCCUGGACCAUUACUGACGCUGAGGCGCGAAAGCUAGGGGAGCAAACAGG